GUGUCAGCCGCCGCGGUAAUACGGAGGGGGCGAGCGUUAUUCGGAAUUAUUGGGCGUAAAGGGCGCGUAGGCGGCUGAACAAGUCAAAGGUGAAAUCCCUCGGCUCAACUGAGGAACUGCCUUUGAAACUGUUCGGCUUGAGGCCGGGAGGGGGUAGCGGAAUUCCCAGUGUAGCGGUGAAAUGCGUAGAUAUUGGGAGGAACACCAGUGGCGAAGGCGGCUACCUGGACCGGUUCUGACGCUGAGGCGCGAAAGCGUGGGUAGCAAACAGGAUUAGAUACCCCCGUAGUCC
rnacentral:rRNA from 1 species